GAAGAGGGGAGCACAUUGUGCCCACUGCCCUGGGGCUGGGGGCGAGUGUCCCUGUGUGCAAACUGUGUACCCUGGCUUUGCAGGUCCCAGCCAGCCAAGCGGGUCCUUCCUGGUGUGGGCAGCCCAGGCCAGUCUGGGACAGGCUGCCUUCUCCUACAGUCCUGGGCACCACAGUGGGGCCACUUGUUGGCUGGGCUUCCAGAACCUUCCAUGUCUUUUUGUGCCAGAGGAACGGGCUCCUCGGGACUCACCUUCCACCCAAUCCUGAUGAGGCCACAGAACCAAUCUCCCAUAAUGUAUCACAGGAAUCUGAGGAUGCAAACAUGCCUCUAUAGGGUCCUGUGAGGAUGCCAGUCCCCAAGCUUCAGUGGUUUGCCAAGCACUAGGAACACGCUGGGGGCACCCACUGUAUCCAGACACGGGGGAUCGCCCCCCGACUUGUCCCCCAUCAUAGAUCCUGCUGAGACCUGGCCUCUGGUGUGUUGCUGGUUUUUAUUCCCGUUCUGGAAUUUUAUCUUUUCUGUGGAGCUUUAUCUUACGCUUCUUGAUUAGGCUUCUCUUGAAGGCAGGCCUCU